rnacentral:rRNA from 1 species
CCUACGGGAGGCAGCAGUGGGGAAUAUUGGGCAAUGGGCGCAAGCCUGACCCAGCAACGCCGCGUGAAGGAAGAAGGCUUUCGGGUUGUAAACCUCUUUUGACAGGGAAGAGGAGAAGACGGUACCUGCGGAAUAAGCCACGGCUAACGACGGGCCAGCAGCCGCGGUAAUACGUAGGGGGCAAGCGUUAUCCGGAUUUACUGGGUGUAAAGGGCGUGUAGGCGGGUUGACAAGCCCGCUGUGAAAGCCCGCGGCGUAACCGCAGAACUGCAUUUGAAACUGGUGAUCUUGAGUACGGGAGAGGCAGCCGGAAUUCCUAGUGUAGCGGUGAAAUGCGUAGAUAUUAGGAGGAACACCAGUGGCGAAGGCGGCCUGCUGGACGGCAACUGACGCUGAGGCGCGAAAGCGUGGGGAGCAAACAGGAUUAGAUACCCUGGUAGUC